rnacentral:rRNA from 1 species
GCGUGUAGGCGGUCAGGUAAGUGGAAUGUGAAAUGCCCCGGCUCACCCGGGGACCGGCAUCCCAAACUGCCUGGCUUGAGUAUGGGAGAGGAUGGAGGAAUUCCUGGUGUAGCGGUGAAAUGCGUAGAUAUCAGGAGGAACACCGGUGGCGAAGGCGUCCAUCUGGCCCAAUACUGACGCUGAGGCGCGAAAGCUAGGGGAGCAAACG